rnacentral:rRNA from 1 species
GAUGAACGCUGGCGGCGUGCCUAAUACAUGCAAGUCGAGCGAACAGACAAGGAGCUUGCUCCUCUGACGUUAGCGGCGGACGGGUGAGUAACACGUGGAUAACCUACUUAUAAGACUGGGAUAACUUCGGGAAACCGGAGCUAAUACCGGAUAAUAUAUUGAACCGCAUGGUUCAAUAGUGAAAGACGGUUUUGCUGUCACUUAUAGAUGGAUCCGCGCCGCAUUAGCUAGUUGGUAAGGUAACGGCUUACCAAGGCAACGAUGCGUAGCCGACCUGAGAGGGUGAUCGGCCACACUGGAACUGAGACACGGUCCAGACUCCUACGGGAGGCAGCAGUAGGGAAUCUUCCGCAAUGGGCGAAAGCCUGACGGAGCAACACCGCGUGAGUGAUGAAGGUCUUCGGAUCGUAAAGCUCUGUUAUUAGGGAAGAACAAAAGUGUGUGUAACUAUGCACGUCUUGACGGUACCUAAUCAGAAAGCCACGGCUAACUACGUG